rnacentral:rRNA from 1 species
GGGGAAUCUUGCACAAUGGGGGAAACCCUGAUGCAGCGACGCCGCGUGAACGAUGAAGCCCUUCGGGGUGUAAAGUUCUUUCGGCAGGGACGAUAAUGACGGUACCUGCAGAAGCAGCUGCGGCUAACUACGUGCCAGCAGCCGCGGUAAUACGUAGGCAGCAAGCGUUGUUCGGAAUUACUGGGCGUAAAGAGUGCGUAGGCGGUUGGCUAAGUUUGGUGUGAAAUCUCCCGGCUCAACUGGGAGGGUGCGCCGAAAACUGGCUAGCUAGAGUGCGGGAGGGGAUAGUGGAAUUCCUGGUGUAGCGGUGAAAUGCGUAGAUAUCAGGAGGAACACCUGAGGUGUAGACGGCUAUCUGGACCGUAACUGACGCUGAGGCACGAAAGCGUGGGGAGCAAAC